ACAAUCUGUAUUUCGAUCUCCUCUCCCACUUCCAAGCAGAGCACUAAGCAGGGAACAGCCCACUCCUGCCCUUCUUUGCCUCGCUUUGUGGACACUAUGGAACAAAAGCCAGUUGAGAGGAGAGGCUAAGGAGGCUGGCCUGCCCAACCCCCUCCAGGGCAGAUGCUCAGGAAUCCUUGUCACCAGCAUGUUCUGGUGUUUGCAUAGAUUUAGAACGUUCCAGAAAGGGUUUGUUAAGACUGUGCUUGAGCUGUGUGCAUCUCUACACGGGUGCUAGCUGCAUCUGUAAACUCCUAAGUAUCAACAUGUGUUUCACAGUUCCAGAACCUCUGAUCUCCUUAGCCAAAGGAAAAUGUGAGGCUUAAGGCAUCUGUGACCACACUGGCAGUCAAUGUGGUAAAGGAUGCCCCAAAGAGUGCUGGAGAGAGCCAGGCACGCCUUUAAUUCCAGCACUUGGGAGGCAGAGGCAGGUGGAUUUCUGAGUUCAAGGCCAGCCUGCUCUGCAGAGUUCCAGGACAGCCAGGGCUACACAGAGAAGCCAUGGGGGGGGGGGGGGGGAGUUGCUGGAGAACGGCAAUGUGCUUAUAUGUAUAUACUAUAGUUCUGGCCUCUUGUAUAAGUCAUGAGUCUCCUUUCAGAUCCAGCCAGACUGGCUUCUAAUUGGGGAGCACAAUGCUCCUCCCAGAAUAAACAAUCCAGGAAGGCCAGCUGGAUCCAAGGGACUCAACGACCUCUCCAGGCAGAGCCUGCAGCUGUCACAAAAUGUAAAGUAAUACAUGAUGGGCCCAGGGUCAAACCACACCCUUUGCAAGGGGACUAGUCUUUGACAUUGUUCUGUGUAAACAGGGACCCUUCUAAAUCAAGGCAGUAAGCCCUUGUGGUAAGAAGCAGCCUUGCUUAAAGCUGGGUUUUUAUGCCAGUGAGCCAUGCCUCUCCAUAGUUCAGACACAAUUUGCAGGAACAUUACAGGAGCCAGCAGGCACCAAGGGUCCAAGGCAUCUCUUCGCUGUGCAAUCGCGAAGUUACCCACAGGGCCUCUUUGCUCAAUCAGUCUUCAGCGCCUGUGUUGUGCUCUCUGGCAGCCUUCUUGGGCAGCAGAAGUAGGGGUGUGAAGGAAGGUCCAAGAUAAAGUACCUCGGUCUCACCGAGAUACACCGCUGCCCUGUCCCCUCCUAGUAAGCCUGACAGCUCUUCAAGGCCAGAUUCUCAAGUAUGUGCCGGUAGAACAAACAGAGAAAAGGGGGAACACUCGCUCCUGGAAGUUGACGCGGAAGGUGUAGAGGUGGCGCAUGUCCUCCACUGCAUAGAAGGACACUGCUCCCACCUCAAGGUCCAGCGCCACCCUCACCCGCGACAAGUGCCCACAGUUGAGCUGUGUCCUCUCGGGGCUGGUCACCGCCCAGUAUUGCCCAUUGUUGAGUUGCAUUGCCCAGACGCCCUCCUCGGGGGUAAAAGGCGUGAGGCCCUUGCGACGCACGCUCUCCCGGGCCACACCGAAAGCCCAGCCGUCCUUGGAGCCCACUUCCACCUCCCAGUGAUGUCGCCCAGAGGAGAAACCACAGGAUGCCAGAACGCGGGUGUUGGUAUCAAAGCGGCGAGGAUGGUUAGCUCUCCCUGGAGAUCCUCUACAGAGACACAAAGCAGAGCCAAAGUGCACAGCGUGGGACACUGCCCGACCAGAAAACCUCCUCUUCUCCCUCACUUACAACUCCAGAUACUCCAGAUACUCCAGAUACUCCAGAGGCUGAGUUACACGGUCUGGUUGUUCUCCAGCAGUGUUUCCUAACACCUCGGGCAAAUGCCUCAAGGCUCUGACUGAGCCAGCGUCACCUGGAGGAAGUCUAGGUCCGGCUUCUGAGCUGUCUCCUGGAUCUGGCCGCUGAGUUUGGACAGCUGAGUGAUCUCACCCUCCAGCUGGGCCAGGUUCUCAUUCUGUUUCUGUGUCACUUCCCGGGACAGCACCUCCAGUCGGCUUAGAAGCCGACCCUCCUGCUCCACCAGGAAGGCCCGCAGCGCUUGGAACUCCGCCCCUACCUUCUCUUUCUCUGCUGCCAUCUGCUUCUGUCUCGGGAAGAGAUGUGGGCACACGACUUAGAGGGGAAGGCACUUGGGCAUGACAUUAAGACAGGACUUUAAGACAGGUAUCCUCCAGGUCAGGGUUGCUUCCCCAAUGAGACACACCCAUGCAUGCAUACUGUACAUUAAUAGCCCAACUCUGUAAAAGCCAGAGCCUCAACACAUGCUGCUCUCUCCCCUGCCACACACGUUCUCUGGCGUCUCUUAAGACCUGGACUCUUCUAUCUUUGAGCAUCUUCAACUCCUCACAACUACUUCAAGCUGCAAUUUCCUUCUGUAAAACAUGAGAGAGACAGGGGCAGUGGUGGCCCCAGCCUUUAAUCCCAGCACUUGGGAGGCAGAGGCAGGUGGAUUUCUGAGGCCAGCCUGGCCUACAGAGUGAGUUCCAGGAUAGCCAGG
rnacentral:lncRNA from 1 species